GAUGAAGAACGCAGCGAAAUGCGAUAAGUAGUGUGAAUUGCAGAAUUCAGUGAAUCAUCGAAUCUUUGAACGCACAUUGCGCCCUUUGGUAUUGCUUAGGGCAUGCCUGUUCGAGCGUCAUUUAAACCUUCAAGCUAAGCUUGGUGUUGGGUGACUGUCCGCUUCACGGCGGACUCGCCUCAAAAUUAUUGGCGGCCGGUACAUUGGCUUCGAGCGCAGCAGAAACGCGAACUCGGGCCCGUCGUAUUGGCUCCCAGAAGCUAUCUUCACAAUUUUGACCUCGGAUCAGGUAGGGAUACCCGCUGAACUUAAGCAUAUCAAUAAGCGGAGGA
rnacentral:misc_RNA from 1 species